CCUACGGGAGGCAGCAGUGGGGGAUAUUGGACAAUGGGGGGAACCCUGAUCCAGCGACGCCGCGUGAGUGAAGAAGUAUUUCGGUAUGUAAAGCUCUGUCAGCAGGGAAGAAAGAAAUGACGGUACCUGACCAAGAAGCCCCGGCUAACUACGUGCCAGCAGCCGCGGUAAUACGGAGGGGGCAAGCGUUAUCCGGAAUUACUGGGUGUAAAGGGAGCGUAGACGGUUAAGUAAGUCUGGAGUGAAAGGCCGGGGCCCAACCCCGGGACUGCUCUGGAAACUAUUGAACUUGAGUGCAGGAGAGGUAAGCGGAAUUCGUAGUGUAGCGGUGAAAUGCGUAGAUAUUAGGAGGAACACCAGUGGCGAAGGCGGCUUACUGGACUGUAACUGACGUUGAGGCUCGAAAGCGUGGGGAGCAAACAGGAUUAGAUACCCUGGUAGUC
rnacentral:rRNA from 1 species